rnacentral:rRNA from 1 species
AUUGAACGCUGGCGGCAUGCUUUACACAUGCAAGUCGAACGGUAACAGGCCGCAAGGUGCUGACGAGUGGCGAACGGGUGAGUAAUGCAUCGGAACGUGCCCAGUCGUGGGGGAUAACGCAGCGAAAGCUGCGCUAAUACCGCACACGAUCUAUGGAUGAAAGCGGGGGACCGUAAGGCCUCGCGCGAUUGGAGCGGCCGAUGUCAGAUUAGGUAGUUGGUGGGGUGAAGGCUCACCAAGCCAACGAUCUGUAGCUGGUCUGAGAGGACGACCAGCCACACUGGGACUGAGACACGGCCCAGACUCCUACGGGAGGCAGCAGUGGGGAAUUUUGGACAAUGGGCGCAAGCCUGAUCCAGCAAUGCCGCGUGCAGGAAGAAGGCCUUCGGGUUGUAAACUGCUUUUGUACGGAACGAAAAGGCUCUGGCUAAUACCUGGGGCUCAUGACGGUACCGUAAGAAUAAGCACCGGCUAACUACGUGCCAGCCGCCGCAGUAACAC